CGGACGGGUGAGUAACGCGUGGGUAACCUGCCUCAUACAGGGGGAUAACAGUUAGAAAUGACUGCUAAUACCGCAUAAGCGCACGAAGCUGCAUGGCUUUGUGUGAAAAACUCCGGUGGUAUGAGAUGGACCCGCGUCUGAUUAGCUAGUUGGUGAGGUAACGGCCCACCAAGGCGACGAUCAGUAGCCGACCUGAGAGGGUGACCGGCCACAUUGGGACUGAGACACGGCCCAAACUCCUACGGGAGGCAGCAUG
rnacentral:rRNA from 1 species